GCCUGCUGUUUCAUCCAUCCCAGUGGGGGCGGCACAUACCACGGCCGGGCUCUGUGCUUUGCCUUUUCCAUAACUUCCGUGGGAUCGGUCGGCAGUGUACUUUCAGUUUCUGCUUUGCGCUUGGUCUGCAGGUUCGGUCUUUGGGUUCAUCACGAGGGUGUCUUCACUCUUCCUCUCCGGGGCACCUGCGUCGUCCCUUAGCGCUUCUUGUGCACCUGGACCAAGACCAGAGGAGGGCGCAAAUUUCCAAAAUACGGCAGGCGAAAGCAGCUGGUCCUUCUGAAUCAGAGCAAUUGUGCAAAAGAUUUUUCUAGAUGACCUCUAACAGUCUUGGCAACGCUAGGCGACUGGGACCUAAAAACAUCGGUUACUAAUCUGUCCACAGAAGCCACAAAUGUGCAGGGAACACACUAGGCUAUUGCAAGCAGUCGCCACGGAAGAGCUCCUGCCUCGGAUGUGGGGGACGAUGCCAAGGUCUUGUAAAAAAAAAAAAAAAAAAAAAAGGAAGUGAAGAAUGGUUAAGAACGUCACGCCCUGCACCUCUUCAACCUUUCUAAUCAGUCUCUUUUGGCUUUGACUUCUGUAAUGCACCUGCCCACGUGGUACCUUACAGGAAAAAUAACCCUGUGAGUCCACCUAAUGUGUGAAAAACAAUUCAGAAACAAAGAGAAUGGAAUACUUUUAAAAAUCGUUAUUGAUUAAUUUUGGCAGAGCCACAGACUCAAAUGCCUACAAGGCCAGCCUCAGAAGCUUUAGUGGAACAAUGGAAGCACUUCGCUGCUAACUGAAAGGCUGGCAGUUUGAAUCCCCAGCCACUCCAAAGGAGAAAGACUUGGUGAUCUGCUUCCGUAAGGAUUCCAGCCUUGGAAACUCUAUGGGACAGUUCUAGUCUGUUCUAUAGAGUCGCUGAUUUGGAAUUGACUUGAUGACACACAGAAACUACGAUCAAAAGCUGGAAGAGACAAGGGAGAAUCAUCCCUUGGGGCCUUCAGGGAGCAGAGACAGCCUGGUCUUGCUGACACCAUGAUUUCAGACUUCUGACUUCCAGAACUUCCAGUAGGCUAGAAGUCCAAAUUCAGGGCACUGGCUCCAGGGGAAGGCUUUCUCUCUCUGUCGGCUCUGGAGGAAGGUCCUUGUCAUCAGUCUUCCCUUGGCCUGGGAGCAUCUCAACGCAGGAACCUCAGGUCCAAAGGACAUGCUCUGCUUCCAGCACUGCUUUCUUGAUGGUUAUCCUUAUAAUAACAUCAUUGUCACUCAUUUGAUUUCUGGCAUAAGCUCUAAGUGGAAGAAAGGGGGAGAAUUCCAGCUAAUUUGUUGGAAACUGCACUGGGAAUGGACUGUCUUUGUCAUCACCAUUUACAUGUGGAGGAGUGCAGCUUAUGAAGGCUGACAAUAGAAGCAGCAGAUCCUGCAUCUUGGCAGAGGGAAUAUUCAUAGUUUCAGUAAAUUAAGAGCAGCCCUGAAAGUGCAUGACGCGUUGACUUGUAAUGUUGCUAAGACAUGGACUUCAAUCACAUGUGCUGGGAUGCUGGGCACUAAAGAAUGAGUCACUUGCUAGUAAUCGACUUUAGUGGCUCUUGGCAGAAAUAUAACUUAAGAGAAAGCCUGAAACUUAUGCAAAUAUUCCUGUGAAGAACAUGGGAUGGAGACCCUAGUCUGGCUACCAAAAUUUUGCUAUGAAGAGCAUAUGAAAAUUUUAAGAAGCAUUUUUAUUUGCAAAGAUGAGGUUAUUAGAAACUAACCAUUAAAUCUCUUUGAGCAGAAGCUUUUUCUUUUUGGACUGAAGAAUUCCGUCUAGGGGAAGAGUUAUAAGCCGAUUGGAACUACUGUUCAUUGCGGAUGAAAUCAGACCACACUGGAAAAAGGAUGUGAAUGCAUAUAUCUAGUAAGAGGAAGCCAACCUCAGCAUCUAAAGGAAAAGGGCACACUGAAUUUUCUACUGAGUUGCAAUGCAGCAGAUUUUGUGAUUAAUGGUACACUUAUCCUGCCCUUCUCCUAACCUGAGGCCGUCUAGCAACAAGAACAAGCUUAUUGUGCCUGCAUACUGGUAGCCCCAUAUAUGAAACUGUUACAUGGUGCUACUCUUUUUGAAUAGAUUUCAUUAGGGUACCCUUUCUCACACCAGAAACACAAAGCUAAAGCAAUUUUCCAGUGAUAAUGCCAGGUCUGGCAUAUAAAGCCUAUGGUAAAAUUAAAUAGAUUUUCAGAGAUCACCUAGGUAUUUUACCAGAAGAUUAAACCUAAGAGUUCUUUGGGCUGGAGAUUAGGCCAGAAAAGCAGUUAGGUCCCUUCUGUCUCUCCUUCCUUUUAUUUCUUUUUGCCACCUUUGAAUGAGCUCUUAGUGAAGGAGGAAGACAAAAACAAUUACUGGUAAGGAGGACAGAGAGGAUGGAAAGGAAACCAAAGAGCUGUUACUGAGAGGCAAGGAGGUGUCCUUUGACUAUUUACCUGGGGUUCUCAACUCCUGGGUACCUGGAGCUUCUAAAAGUAUCGGUGUCUGGGCCUGAUUCCAGAACAUUAUUAUUGGAAUUCCUAGGUGUGAUACACAGAUAUCGGUGCUUUUUAAACAGUCCUUUAUAAUUUGAAGCCAGCCUGGGAACUAAUGAUUUCUCUCGAUAGGCCAUUCCCAGGAAGAAAAAGGUAUGUAAGAGAUCAAAGCUGAACACAAAAACCUGGACACUACCUGUUAUUUAAAUGACAUUUGACAGAGUUAUCGUGUUAGUUGCUUACUUAGUUGCUACAUUUAUCUCAAUUCUACGGUGAAGCUCUCCCUAAGUAUGAGCUGUGUAAUACUAGUUUCAUGGACUUUUCAUCAGCUGAGAGGAUAGGGAAAGACAGGUUUAAUGGUGAAGUGAGUUUAAGAAAUUCCAAUGAAACAAAACAACCUAGGUUGCUUUCUCUUCCUCCUUCUUUUCCUCCCCUUCUCCUUCCUCUCCCCACCUCCUCCUUUUUCUUCUACUUUUUCUAUCUCCAAGGGGAGAUAUAAUACAGAUGCAUUCUCCAAACAUAAUUGACAUUAGAAUUCCUUUUUUAUCCCUUGGAGCAUGCCUGUACAAAUGUCCUGUGCACAGUAGGUACAGCCUGGGAGAAGAGAUAAAAAUUGCCAUUUGGGGGGGUGGGUCCUGCUGGCUGUGGCUAUCUCCUUAAAGUUUGCCAACUUUCAAUCUCUGGGCAGUUCUCAAUUCCUAUUUUACUCAAAUUAUUAUUUAAUCAAUGUUGUUGUUGUUAGGUACCGUCGAGUCGGUUCCAACUCAUAGAGACCCUAUAGAAAUGAGUAGAACUGCCCCACAGGGUUUCCAAAGAGCAGCUGGUGGAUUCGAACUGCCAACAUUUUGGUUAGCAGCCAAGCUCUUAACUACUGCACUGCCAGGGCUGUUAUUAAUCAAUAGCUCAAGGAAUAACCCUAAUAUAUUUUUCAUGUUGUUCAAUUCAUAACUCAGUGGCGUUUUCCAGUGCAGUAGGAAUCUGAGACAAUGUGACCUUUUGAGACAGAUUCACUUCUCCUACUCCUUUUGCUUACUAUGUUUGUCCUAGAAAUGGCCUGCGCUACAUUAAGAUGAACGUUUAAACAGAGACACUUGUGUAAAUAUAUACAAUAUGUAUAUCUAGAUUUGUUGUUGUUGUUAGGUGCCAUCAAGUCUGUUCUGACUCAUAGUGACCCUAUGUACAACAGAAACAAACACUGCCCCAUCCUGCACCUUCCUCACAAUCAUUACUAUGCUUGAGCCUGUUGUUGGAGCCACUGUGUCAAUUCAUCUCAUUGAGGGUCUUCCUUAAUUUCUCUGACCGCCAGCUUUACCAAGCAUGAUGUCCUCCUUCAGGGGCUGGUCCCUCCUGAUAACAUGACCAAAGUAUGUGAGAAGAUGUCUCGCCAUCCUGGCUUCCAAGGAGAACUCUGGCUGUAUUUCUUCCAAGACUGACAGACUUUUUCAUUCUUCUGGCAGUCCAUGAUAGCAUAUAUUCAAUAUUCUUUACCAACACCAUAAUGUAAAAGAAUCAAUUCUUCUUCAGUCUUCCUUAUUCAUUGUAAAGUUUUUGCAUACAUAUGAAAAUAUCAUGGCUUGGGUCAGGCAGACCUUAGUCCUCAAAGUGACGUUUUUACUUUUCAACCCUUUAAAGAGGUCUUUUGCAGCAGAUUUGCCCAUUGCAAUACGUCUUUUGAUUUCCCGACUGCUGCUUCCAUGGGUAUUGAUUGUGGACCCAAGUAAAAGGAAAUCCUUGACAACGUCAAUCUUUUCUCUCUUUAUCAUGAUGUUGCUUAUUGGUCCAGUUGUGAGGAUUUUUGUUUUCUUUAUGUUGAGGCAUAAUCCAUACUCAAGACUGUAGUCUUUGAUCUUCAUUAGUAAGUGCUUCAAGUCCUCUUUGCUUUGAGCAAACAAGGUUGUGUCAUCUGCAUAUCAUAGGUUGGUAAUGAGUCUUCCAUCAGUCCUGAUACCACAUUCUUCUUCAUAUAGUCUAGCUUCUCAGAUUAUUUGCUCAACAUACAGAUUGAAUAAGUAUGGUGAAAGGAUACAACCCUGAUACACACCUUUCUUGAUUUUAAACCAUGCAGUAUCCCCUUGCUCUGUUUGAAUGCCUGCCUCUUGGUCUGUGUACAGCUUCCUUGUGAGCACAAUUAAGUGUUCUGGAAUUCCUAUUCUUCAAAAUGUUAUCCAUAUAGGUGGGGGGGAGGGGGGGUGGAGGACGUAUAUGCUUUCCUGACAUGAGAGCUUUUGAUGAGUUUUGAGAAUGCUCAGAUUCCAAAAGCUUAUCCUACAAAAGUGACAAAUGACUUUACUUUUCUAUGCUUAAGGCCAUCUCCCUCUGAAUUUUUUUUUUUUUUUUUUUUUUUUAGUUCUUAAUGUACGAUAACGAAAAUUCUUUUCAAUCAGAUAGAGAGGAGAAAAUUAAUGUGACUUAUUUUCUUCAUGGUGUUGUUUAGGACAUGCUUCUUUAGAAAAAGAAAUCAUGAAGAAUUUGAUGCAGGCUGGAAUGAUGAGGGCUGUAUGUGGUGGGCUUCAGUUUACUGGAAAAAUUUUCAGAAAUGAGAGCCACUGUCUCUCUUCAUUCUACUUCUAGAACCCUCACAUACCACCAUAUUUAUUGCUACUUAUGCCAUUAGCCAAGAAAAUGUAUUUGUUAAAGGACCCUGGCAAUAACAGGAAUUUCUGAUACUCCGCACAACUUCAGUAGAAGAGAAUUUUUCAGCACCGUUUCCCUAUGAAUCAGCAAGCAGUUAGGACUCUCACUCUACUCUCUGAAAGAAACUGAAAUAGUAAUACUCCAUCACCGAUCAGUGGAAAGGAGGAGAGGGGCUGAAAGAGAGCUGAAACUAAGUCACAUUCUUCUAUGAGAACUGGGGAAAAGUGAGGACUCCCUGAGUGGUGAAAACGAUUAACAUGUUCUGCUGCUAACUAAAAGGUUGGAGGUUCAGGUCCAACCAGAGGGGUUUCAGAAGAAAGUCCUGGUGAUCUAUUUCUGAAAAAUCAGCCAUUGAAAAUAUGGAGCACCGUUCUACUGUGACACAUGUGAGGUCACCGUGAGUUAGAAUCAACUAGAUGGCAACUGUUUUAUGACUCACAGCAACUGUGAUGGUUAAGAUUGUGUGUGAACCUUGCUGGGCCAUGAUUUCAGUGUUUUGGCAGUUGUAUAAUGUUGUGAUCACUUCCCUGUUGAAAUUUGAUACGUGGUCACCCCCAUGGUGGAAUCUCUGGGUAGUAUUGGUAGGGGGGGCCUGUGGUGGCUCACCACCCCCUCAGCCUUCAUCUCUCCACCUUCCACUGCCUACUUCCUUCCUGCUGCCUUGCCAAGGUUUUUGGCUUGUUCUGGAUCCAGAAGCUGCCUCUUGUCUGACCUCCAGUUCUUGGGACUUGAGCUAGCUGCUUACCUGUCCCUCUUGGGAUUUGCUGAUCUUCAGAGUCUGUGAGCAAGAGUCCUGCUCCCCAACCUGCUGAUCUUGGGUUCGCCAGCCCCUGCAGCAACAUGAAUCAAGAGAAACCUUGUGAUCUUUUCUGCAUACCUUGGGAAUCCUUGACCUUCACAGCCUGUGAGUGGGAGCCCUGCUCUUCAACCUGCUGAUCUUGGGUUCACCAGCUUCUGAAGCUCUGCAAAUUGGGAAAGGCCUCUAUCCUGACCCCACAGACUUGGGACGUUCCAACCUCUACAAUUCCAUGAGAUGUUUCCUUGAUAUAAAUCUCGCUUUAUAUAUAUUUACGUGUUUACUGGUUUUGCUUCUACAGAGAACCCAGCCUGAGACAGCGACCCUAUCAGACAGUGUAGAACUGCCUCACAGAAUUUCCAAGGAGUGCCUGGUGGAUUUGAACUGCUGACCUUUUGGUUAGUAGCCAUAGCUCUUAACCACUAUGCCACCAGGAUUUCCAGGAAAGAAUGAGGGAGGAAUAAAUGCUUCCAUCAAAUAGACGUCCAAAUAAUGGCUUCUUUACUGAAGCAAUCACAUUUUUGUUCUGGGUGAAUAGGAAGAAAAAAAUGGUUAAAAAAUUAAGUUGUUAGGUAAUAUAUUGAUUAUAACAAUAAAAAUGUAUUUAUUGUUGAUGCUGCUUUUGUUGAUUCUGAAUUUUUGGCACAGCUUGUGAGCUCCCAACCUGUUUUUAAAUUUCCAUUUUGCUUUCUAGAAUUUUGCUAAUUUUUUAAUUCUGUGCUUUUUUAAAAAAUGUAUAAUUUGCUUUUAACUAAUUUUGCCUUCCCUGCUUAUUUUUGCCAGUUUGUUUUCAACCACAUUAUCUGUGAUGGUGCCAAUCAACCUGAGUCAAAAAGUUCAAUAGAUUCCUUAUCAUCAUCAUCAUCCUUAGUAUCACCCUACCCCAACUGGUGUCAUAUCUUGAAAAGCAAAGGGCUUUCAUAUUAUACAGGAAGCCAUUUCACUACAGGCGACUGCUUUUUUUAUUUUUCUUUUGGAAAUAUUAAUAUUAAAAUGAUACUUUAUUCAACCACCAGAGGGAGCCCCCAAAUCUGGAUUCCAAAAGGGAACAAGAGUAAAUUAAAUAAGUAGAAAGUUUUAUGUUUUAUGGUUGAAAAUCAGAAGUUCACUCAGACACUGUGUCACGGUAUUGUGGGAGCACAUACUGGGUCUUCUGUACAUACUGAAAUCUUAUUCUGCUAAAAGUGCAUAUAAUUUUAAUUAACCAUUAUUAAAUAAUAGUCUAUGGUUUUGUUUUCCCCCAAGGAGAACCAAAUGUUUUCAUUUUUCCCUGCACAAAUAUGUGGGUGUGGAAUGGGGAAGGGAGCUAUCUGUUUCCUGCAGGCAGGACAAGCCCCUACAGAGCUAGCUCCCUCCAGUAAUAAUGGGUCCUGGGUCUCCAAGAACAAUCCACUUUUAAAUGUCAAGCUUCUUGUAAGCAAGCCUUCAAGUUACGUUUCCCUGUAGCUUUCCAGGUCUCUUUUAGUAGGACAGUGCUUGGAAGUGGCAUUCCCUCAAAAGUUUUCUUAUCCAGCAACUUAUUGUUUCUUGUAAUAAUGUAUAGAAAUAGUAGGGUAGAUAUAAUCAAUCCUAAUUCAUGGAAAUUAUGCCCACAGACGUUAAACAAAUUACCCAAGGCCAUGUAGCAGAUGAGUGAGAGACCUGAGAUUAGAUCCAGGACCCUUAGCGGUUUAGGUUGGUGUAUUGUCUUCCCUGACUUCACACGGCUGAAACUGACUUACUUGUUUCCAUCACACUUGAUUAAAAUCAGGUAUUUUAAUUCUCAUUUCUGUGUUGAAGCCAAAUCAGGUAUUUUAAUUCUCAUUUCUGUGUUGAUAUUCUCAAUCAAACCAAAUAGAAAGAUGAAUUAUGAACAAUGAAUAGUGGUGAAAUAUAUUCAUUCAGUGUCAGCAUUGAUAUGUAUCGCUAUUUCACUUCCUUAAACCUCCUAUUCUCUCCACACCGCUUACCAAUGUACUUAAUGUAUCAACAAAAUUCUUUUAAUAAGGACACAGCCUGAAUACCAACAUUUUGAGUAAAGAAAAAAAAUUGUAUUUGACAUCAGUAUAACUCUUCAUCUUAACUUCAUCACAAGUCUUUAUAUAUGUAUAAUUAAAAGCUAUUUGCAAAUAAAGUAAAAUAUUUAAUACAUAAAGUCUCCAUUUUGACAUAUUUUUCCAUAGAGUACAGUCAUUCACAGGCAGUUUUCAACAAGCUAAAUGAGCUCACUUCUUUUCAAGCCUAAGAGGUCUAAACAAUAAUAUGGUCUCCCAGACACAAAGAGGAAACAGCAGGCCUCUGUACCGUGCUGUGAUCAUUCCCUGGGCCAGUACUUUCACAGCUGUAAUCAAAGGUGCCCAGGAGCUAUGCCCCAAUGUAUACCAGUCGCCAUCAAGCCAAUUCUAACUCAUGGUGACUCCAUAUGUGUCAGAGUAGAACUGUGCUCCCUAGGGUUUUCAAAGGCUGACUUUCAGAGUUAGAUCUCUGGGCCUUUCUUCUGGGUGGACCCGAACCUCCAACCACUCAAUUAGCUGCCAAGCAUGUUAACCAUUUGCACCACCCAGCGACUCCUAUGCCACAGUGGCCUCCUUAGAAGGAGGGGGUGUCCUAAAUGUUACUUCCACCUCACCCAGACCUCCACUGAUGGAGGCCAUACCUCCAUAAAAAGUCCCAGGGCUGGUUUUGUGCUGAAGCACAGGGCCCCUCCACAACACCCAUGCUGUAAUCUGCACUAAUAUAUACAUAUGACUGCUGCCUCCUCAGCUUACCACAGGGGGCAGAAGCUGACUGAUAAACUGCCUAGAGAGACGAAUUCCCAAGGAAAGGCAGGAAGAUACAGAAAUGUUAAAAGAAAAAGAAGUUUAAAAUGCGUUUUCUACUGCCAUCUUUAAUCACAUCAUACGGAAGUGGGUUUACUUUGUCUUGUUUAAAAAUAAAACAACUCUUCAUUAAUGCCAAUGAUGUAUGAGACUAAGGUAUAGAAAAAGCCAGGACAAUUUAAAAUUUUUUUGCAGAAAAAUACUCCUGGAAUGUGUUCCUUUUUGCACUUUGUAUUUCAAUUUUAAUAAUUCUAGGAGUAAGUUUCACUUUAAUAUCCUGGCUUUCUUAUAAUCCCCACAAUGAAAAACGCAUUUCUUAGAAAAAAAUUCUUCCCAAAGGAGUCCGCCCCAUGAACAUUCAUUUAAACUGCCCUUGCUAGUCAAUCGUUUUCAUCCUUUAAUGUACAUUUUCUAAAACCUGAGCAAAGACCUACAAAGCAUUAUUUUUUUCAAUGAGUUGAGCUACAUGCAGAAUUGAAAAGCCUCACCUCUGUAGAAAGCAUUAUGAAGAAACAUCAAUCCUGGCUAUCUCUCUGUACAAAGUUGCCUAGGUUAUCCCUAUUUUUUAAAAUGGUAGUGACAAGCAGGAUUCUAGAUGCCUCCUGCUGGGGUUUGAAAUUUUGCUUCACCAAUAACUCAGUUGUCUUGGGUAACUCAAUUUCUGUGUCUUAAUUUUGUUAUCUGUAAAGUGGAGAUAAUAGUAUUUAUCUCCUCAUGCUUUUGUGAGGAUUAAAUGAGCUGAUAUAUGUAAAUUAUGAAAAUUUAUUAAAAAAUAGAACCGUGCCUGGCAUUGGUAUUUAUUUAAAUAAAUAAAAUACUUUUUCAUAGUAUCACUAUGCUCUAGGUCAACAUUUGCAUACUAAUGAUUGGAUCUCUCCCUAAGUACCCAGGAUACUUGUAUUUGAAGUUUGUUUGAAAAUGAGGUGCAUAGGGCACUGUCUGGCUCCCAGUUUUCUUACCUACAAAAGGGUGAUGAUGAUCUUGACUUGAAGGCCUGAUUGUGAAAUGCAGUGAGGUAGUUCAUAUGAAAUGUGUAGCAGAGGAUUGGUGAAUAGAAAUAACUAUGUGCAAGGUCAUCACAUAAGUUCAAACAAACCAUGUGAAGAUUCAAAAAAAAAAAAAAAAAAGGACUUUUACAGAAACAAAACCACUACAUGUUAAAAAGGCUCAGUUUUUUGUUCUAUUGCUUUUGGAUUGAAAUUAGAAAUUUUCAAUCCAAGUUUUAUUUUCAAAAAGUACCUAUAUAGAGGAAACAUCUGGAAAAUGCCAUCCCCUAAAUUGUCAGUGGAAACCCCAGUAGCAUAGUGGUUAAGUGCUAUGGCUCCUAACCAAAAGGUCGGCAGUUCGAAUCUGCCAGGUGGUCCUUGGAAACUCUAUGGGGCAGUUCUACUCUGUCCUAUAGAGUCGCUAUGAGUUGGAAUCAACUCGAUAGCAGUGGGUUUUUUAAAUUAUCUGUAUUUUAACAAUAAAUAUCUACCCACCGACAAAGCUUUGUAGAAAUACUGUCAAAGUUUACUUAGAUGCAUACAAAAUAAUGGAGAUACCUGCUACUCAGUGGUGAAGAAAUCUCCGCUCGUGGUUUCCUUUGUAAGGAUGAUUAGAGAAAAAUAAAAAAAGCAAAAGUUUAAGUAUGCUUCAACUAUUCACAUGCUAAAAGCAAAUAAAAUAGUGUGAAGUAGACACCAUCUUAAAUUUACCAAACUGGAUUUGCGUAUCAGAUGACUGGAAAUAAGCCAUAAAAACUGCUCUUCAUACAUCAAAAAAAAAAAAAAAAAAAAAAAAGCCAAAUCCAUUGCCAUUGAGUCAAUUCCAACUCAUAGCAACCCUCUAGACAGAGUAAAAAAAAAAAAAAGAACUGCCUUAUUGAAUUUCCAAGGAGCGGCUGGU